GCGCCCUUCUGGGGAGAGAUUUUUCUCCCCAGGAUUUUCCCCCGUUGGAUUAUGUGUUUGGUGGGGUAUUGGGCUCCCCCGCCCACAAUCUCUAUCUGGUUUGAGAGGAUGAUCUCCCCCACUGUGACUGAGACACGGCCCCCACUCUUCCGGGAGGCGCCACUGGGGAAUCUUAUACACUGGGGGCGCCCCUGAUCUAUCCCUGCCCCGUGAGUGAUGAAAGCCCUCUGGUUGUAUAGCUCUUUCUCCUGGGAAGAUAUUGACGGUACCCCCACAAAAAACCCCGGCUAUCUCUGUGCCCCCACCCCCGGUAUUACAGAGGGGGCUAUCGUUGUUCUCAAUUACUGGGCGUAUAGCGCACGUAUGCGGACCGCAAAGUUGGGGGUGAGAUCCCGGGGCUCUCCCCCGGAGCUGCCUUCUCAACUAUCUCUCUGGAGUUCUAGAGAGGUGAGUGUAAUUCCCAGUGUGUAGGUGAGAUUCUUAUAUAUUCUGAGGAGCACCCCUGUCGAAAGCGGCUCUCUGUCUCUAUACUGACACUGAGGUGCGAAAGCGUGUGGAGCACACACGAUUAUAUACCCUG
rnacentral:rRNA from 1 species